GACGAACGCUGGCGGCGUGCUUAACACAUGCAAGUCGAACGGAAAGGCCCUGCUUUUGUGGGUUGCUCGUUUGGCGAACGGGUGAGUAACACGUGAGUAACCUGCCCUUGACUUUGGGAUAACUUCAGGAAACUGGGGCUCAUACCCGAUAUGAUCUCCUGCUGCAUGGUGGGGGUUGGAAAGUUUCGGCGGUUGUGGAUGGACUCGCGGCUUAUCAGCUUGAUGGUGGGGUAGUUGCUUACCAAGGCUUAGACGGGUAGCCGGCCUGAGAGGGUGACCGGCGACAAGGGGACUGAGAGACGGCGCAGAAGGGUACGGGAGGCAGCAGGGGGGAAUAUGGCGGAGUGGGCGGAAGUCUGAGGCAGAAACGUCGGGUGCGGGAUGACGGCCUUCGAGGGAUAAACAGAUUUGGCAGGUGACGAAGCGUGAGUGACGGUAAUGGGUAAAGAAGCAACGGCUAACUACGUG
rnacentral:rRNA from 1 species